rnacentral:rRNA from 1 species
GACGAACGCUGGCGGCGUGCUUAACACAUGCAAGUCGAACGGAAAGGCCCUGCUUUUGUGGGGUGCUCGAGUGGCGAACGGGUGAGUAACACGUGAGUAACCUGCCCUUGACUUUGGGAUAACUUCAGGAAACUGGGGCUAAUACCGGAUAGGAGCUCCUGCUGCAUGGUGGGGGUUGGAAAGUUUCGGCGGUUGGGGAUGGACUCGCGGCUUAUCAGCUUGUUGGUGGGGUAGUGGCUUACCAAGGCUUUGGCGGGUAGCCGGCCUGAGAGGGUGACCGGCCACAUUGGGACUGAGAUACGGCCCAGACUCCUACGGGAGGCAGCGGUGGGGAAUAUUGCACAAUGGGCGGAAGCCUGAUGCAGCAACGCCGCGUGCGGGAUGACGGCCUUCGGGUUGUAAACCGCUUUCGCCUGUGACGAAGCGUGAGUGACGGUAAUGGGUAAAGAAGCACCGGCUAACUACGUG